ACAGAGGUGGCAAGCGUUGUUCGGAAUUACUGGGCGUAAAGGGCGCGUAGGCGGCCCGCCAAGUCCCGUGUGAAAUCCCCCGGCUCAACCGGGGAACGGCGCGGGAAACUAGCAGGCUUGAGUUCGGGAGAGGGAAGCGGAAUUCCGGGUGUAGCGGUGAAAUGCGCAGAUAUCCGGAGGAACACCGGUGGCGAAGGCGGCUUCCUGGACCGACACUGACGCUGAGGCGCGAAAGCUAGGGGAGCAAACGGGAUUAGAUACCCCGGUAGUCCUAGCCCUAAACGAUGAGAACUGGGUGUAGAGGGUAUGAACCCCUUCUGUGCCGAAGCUAACGCAUUAAGUUCUCCGCCUGGGGAGUACGGUCGCAAGGCUG
rnacentral:rRNA from 1 species